rnacentral:rRNA from 1 species
AUUGAACGCUGGCGGCAGGCUUAACAUAUGCAAGUCGAGCGGGGACUUCGGUCCUAGCGGCGAACGGGUGAGGAAUGCUUGGGAAUCUGCCCAGUAGCGGGGGAUAACGUUUCGAAAGGAACGCUAAUACCGCAUACGCCCUACGGGGGAAAGGGGGGGAUCUUCGGACCUCUCACUAUUGGAUGAGCCCAAGUCGGAUUAGCUAGUUGGUGGGGUAAAGGCCUACCAAGGCGACGAUCCGUAGCUGGUCUGAGAGGAUGAUCAGCCACACUGGAACUGAGACACGGUCCAGACUCCUACGGGAGGCAGCAGUGGGGAAUAUUGGACAAUGGGCGAAAGCCUGAUCCAGCCAUGCCGCGUGUGUGAAGAAGGCCUUCGGGUUGUAAAGCACUUUAAGCGAGGAGGAAUGGCUGAGGGUUAAUAACCUUCAGCAGUGACGUUACUCGCAGAAUAAGCACCGGCUAACUCUGUGCCAGCAGCCGCGGUAAAAC